UCUGAUGAUGUCCGUGAAUGAGAUGUCACGAGGGAACGUGUUCACCUGAGGAAAGGGGGGAGCCCCAGGUCCGUGGAUCAACAGAUCGCGGAUACCCGGAGGCGAGAGCUGCGGGAUCAAUCCCUUAUUCCAAGACUUAGCCUCUCUAAUCGAAGCUAAAAGCUAGAUUAGGGGAGGGGCUUGGCACGGCAGCGAUUUCGGCACUAAACAGAAGCAGAUUAGGCGUUGUGGAAGCGGCGAUGGCAGGGAAGAACUCGACCUGGGUCGGAGGCGGCGAAUGGAAAAGUGAAUGGGGAAAUUUUUAUAUUCAAAAAUCGAUGCCGAACAAAGAUUCACGAUAGUCUUUUUAUCUAACAGGACUUAAAUGUAAAUACUUAAAAUAAAAAGAGUUUUUUUGCAAAAUUCCCCAUAACUCCUGGGUUCGACCAGAUUGGCUUAGCCACCCUUGAAAUUGACCUGGUAAUCCUUCAUCCACGUCGGUCGUUUCCCCUCCCGGUUCGAUGGCUCGCGUACGCCACUGACUCGGUCCGGUGCAGGACGACUCGGGUCUUCCUCAGAUGGCACGUCCGGUUCCUCUUCCUCAGGCGUGUCUUCUUCCUCAAGUGCGUCCGAGUUCCCUUCCAUUGUUAUCCGGCGCACGUCGUCCUCAAUCUCCCGGAAAUCAAUUUGCUGGACUGCAUCA
rnacentral:lncRNA from 1 species